UAAAAGGGCAGUCCCCCUGCACUUCUCUCUUGUGUGCCACCAUGUAAGAUGUGCUUGCUCCUCUUUUGCUUUCCUCCAUGAUUGUGAAGCCACCCCAGCCAUGUGAAACUGUCAGCCUAUAUCACCAAUUCACCAUGCCCACCCAGAGAAUUGCUGAGUUCCAGAAAACCACUCUUCCUGAAAAUCUGCAACUUCAUUAAAUGGAGGACUGAGUUUCCAACAAGAAAAGGUCAACAUUUCCAUUUGGGCAUUCAAACAUCUCCAAGAUGGGCUUGAAGCUUUAGUGUUCUAUUGAUUCAGCCAUCUCCAUGCUGAGCACAGAACUUUGCCCAGAAUAGAUGGGCUGUGUCAAUCAAAGCCCACCAGUGGGGUUAUUUAUUUUCAGUUUGAUUCACAGGGCUAUCAAAUAUCGAAACUGAAGGAGAUCAAGGUAAUUGUACUUCAGUUUAAAUUUGCAAAUGGAACUUUCACAACUGAUACAUUACUGAAGCUGAAAUUCAUGAGAAACUCUUUGAAAUGACAAGGUUUUCUCCUGCUUUCAUUUGGCCUGUGUUUACCAAACACUCACUAAAUACAAAAACACUAAAUUAGGGUCUCCAGAGGAGAAGCUGACUCUAAAUUAAAAAAAAAAAUGUAAUUACGUGCCAAGUGACAUGGAAAUAUAAAGUACUGCUGAUCAAGGAGGGAGUCUAUGAUUUGGAACAUAACUGAAAAUUGGUGGCAUUUGUUCAUGCAGAUAUAGAAAAUACUCUCCUGAUAGAGGGAACAGUCCAUCUGGUAGUUAAGUUUACCUAAAUUAUGUAAGUAAUUAAUGAUAGCAACUUCUCAAAUGAAUGUCAUACGUUUUGUGAAAUUUUAUGGCAUUUAACUGCAUCCUGAAAAUGUUUUUAUUUAAAAAGCUUAUUUUUAUAUUACAUAUUUAUAUUUAUUAUCUUAACAACAUGAACUAUAAUAAAG
rnacentral:lncRNA from 10 species